CACGUUGGAACCUGCCCAAAGUGAGGAAUAAGCCACCGAAAGGUGGUCUAAUACUUCAUAAUAUCCAUCUCGUAUGGAUUAAAGCUUUAUGCGCUUUGGGAGGGGCCUGCGUAACAUUAGCUUGUUGGUGAGGUAAAAGCUCACCAAGGCUUCGAUGUUUAACUGGUUUGAGAGGAUGACCAGUCACACUGGGACUGAGAUACGGCCCAGACUCCUACGGGAGGCAGCAGUAAGGAAUCUUCCACAAUGGGGCAACCCUGAUGGAGCAAUACCGCGUGCAGGAUGAAGCGUUUCGGCGUGUAAACUGCUUUUAUCACCGAAGAUUAUGACUGUAGGUGAAGAAUAAGGACCGGCUAACUACGUG
rnacentral:rRNA from 1 species